rnacentral:rRNA from 1 species
AACGAACGCUGGCGGCAUGCCUAACACAUGCAAGUCGAACGAAGGCUUCGGCCUUAGUGGCGCAUGCGUGCGUAACGCGUGGGAAUCUGCCCUUUGGUUUGGCAUAACAGCUGGAAACGGCUGCUAAAACCGGAUGAUGUAGAACGUCCAAAGAUUUGUCGCCAGAGGAUGAGCCCGCGAUGGAUUAGGUAGUUGGUGGGGUAAAGGCCUAUCACACGAUCGAUCCAUAGCUGGUUAGAGAGGCUGAGCAGCGACACUGGGACUGGGACACGGCCCAGAAUAUUACGCGAUGCAGCAAUGGGUAAUAUUGGACAAUGGACGGAAUCCUGAUCGAGUAAUGACGCGUGAGUGAUGAAGGUCCUAGGGUAGUAAAGCACGUUUAUCCCGGAAGAUAAUGACUGUACCAAGAGAAUAAGCCCCGGCUAACUCCGUG